GUAGCUGGUUAGUAUAUAACUGCAGGAGAUGCAGCUGUACUAACACAGAGGCCCCUAUCCACCCAGAGGCACUGAUAACCCUGCGGGAAGAAUAGCUCACAGUCUACAUAUUGAUGCAUCCUCAAAUAUAAAGUCAAUGGAGCAGCAAUGGACUCAGCUGGCUUGGGAAGAGCUGCCAGAUUUUCAGAACAAUGCCACCCUCAUCAUCAUCUCCUCCUCAGAAACAUCCCAGAUCCCAACACGCCUCUAUAUUAUCCUCACAUAUCGAUGUCUGCUGGUGUCUGUUGUGGCUGGCCCUGUAAGAAGCUUGG